GGGGCCGUAAAGGUUUCGACGGGGGUAGUGAACCCGACUAAGCACGCAGAGAUCGCCUUAUCUCUUUAAACGGGGCAAACUUAAAAUUAAACGCAGACAAUAGAUCUGAAUUAGCAGCUGCCUAAGCGCACUGCCGUCCUCCUGAGAACUGCUGCGAUCUCAGCCAGGGCGUCGACCAGCAGCCAACGUUUUCAGCAAGAGCCUUGUAGCUGUUAACGCACCAAAGGGCUACCGUAUCAGCAAUCCUGUUUGUCGGAGUGCUGUGAGGGAAUUUCAAAAGAUAAACUAAGCGUGUAGAAAGGUUGGCGGAUUUGCUUUCGGACAGGAGUUCGAUUCUCCUCGGCUCCACCA
rnacentral:tmRNA from 1 species